rnacentral:rRNA from 1 species
AAAGCGUGGGGGAGCAAACAGGGAUUAGAAUACCCCUGGUAAUCCCCCGCCGUAAACGAUGUCAACUAGCCGGUUGGGACUCUUGAAGUCUUAAGUGGCGCAGCUAACGCAAUAAAGUUGACCGCCUGGGGAGUACGGCCGCGAGGUUAAAACUCAGAAUGAAUUGACGGGGGCCCGCACAAGGGGUGGAGCAUGUGGUUUAAUUAGACGCAACGCGAAGAACUUUUCCUGGCCUAGACAUCCAGCGAACUUUCCAGAGAUGGUUUGCUGCCUUCGGGAGCUAUGAGACAGAUGCUGCGCGUCGGUCGUCACAUCGUGUCUUGAGAUGUUGUGUGAAGUCCCGUAACGAGCGCGCCCCCUUUCCCUGUUUGAUACCAGGUAAAGCUGGGAACUCCAGGGAGACUGCCGGUGACAAACCGGAGGAAGGUGGGGAUGACGUCAGGUCAUCAUGGCCCUUACGGCCAGGGCUACACACGUGCUACAAUGGCGCGUACAGAGGGCUGCCAACUCGGGAGAGUGCGCCAAUCCCUUAAAACGCGUCGUAGUCCGGAUCGGAGUCUGCAACUCGACUCCGUGAAGUC